GGGUGCAGGAAGCGUUAGUGUAGAGGGAGAGCCCUGUGCACAACACCGACACCGCCGCCCGUCCUUCCCACUUGGCCUAAGCUGCCCUCCGCUCCUGGACCCUUUCCCUCUGCACUUCACCCCUUUGUUACCUGCUAUUCUCCCCCAGCCUACACCCGGAGGGAUGGGCUAAGGUCUGUUUGAGGAGGCACCUUGGUCGGAUCCAUAAGAUCAGGGAGUGCAGGGGGGGCUGCCGUUGACAGGCUCUGAGCUGAAAGUUGGGGCAGAAAUUGUAGGAUGCCUCAGCGUGUGAGGUACAACCCAGUGUGUGAACCUUACAUCAUGGAUAACUUUCUACCCUGCCUUGCUGUUUCUUGAAGCCAUAUGAACAAAUGAAGCCAGAGGGCUGAGGACUUGAUGCUUGUCCUUGGGCAGCAGUGCAAGUUGAUGGCAAAGGAGAGGGAGGCUCUGAGACAAGGAUUAGAUACCUGGGAAGGUGUAAGAGAGUGAAUGGCUCAGCUCAGGGGGACUUCGGGGUGAGCUGGGGUUCAGCUCUAUUAUGGUGCAAUGGGAGACAGGUAGUGUCAUUGUUGAGAUGGACAUGGGCAGCAAACUGGGGUUUUCAGUGGGGUGUUUGUUGCCCUUGAAAUCUCCCAGGCUUGCGACAGCAAGCUCUGGAGGUCUGACAACGUUUCUCUUUUAAUCUUGUAUUUGUGUGUGUGUGUGUCUGUGUGUGUGUGUUUGGUGUAGAUGAUUGAACUCAGGGCCUUUAAGCCCACUCUUCCACUGAGCUGCACCCCCAUUCCCCGCUGUGCAGGCUAGGCACAGUGAGAGCCUGUUCUCACUGUCAUGGUGCUUCAGCUUUUGUGGGAGGGCGAAUGGAGUUGCUGAAAUGGGCUGAUACAGUUGGGGUAGGGAAGGAUGCAGAAGAGUCUCAUCUCUUUGGACUUUCUGCUGCCUUGUGUUGCAGAAACAGGUCAGCAGCCCCUUUCCAACAAGGCUCAUUUUUAUUGCAUUGUCUGACUUAUUGUUUCAAUCUUCCCUUCUCUGCUGCCAGACCUGCUUCAACUUGGGGUUCAUCACCUUGGGUUUUUUCUCGCUUCCCCAUGAACAGUCAUCUUCUCACAAAGGCCCUCCUUGGCUGCUAUAGCUUAAUAUGCCUCACACUUUUCAUCUUGUGUUUUUAUUUUUUUUUCUUAGUGUUCCUUACUACAGAAAUCAUCUUAGAUGUCAACUGCAUGUUGUUUGUCAGCACCUGACCACGAGACUCCAGAGGAGUUGUUUUUCUCUCCCCUGUUGUGGUGCUCAGCACUGAGUCUUGUCACAUAGUGAGAAGCAUGGUUCCAUAUGAAGGGACCUGAAUAGAUGGCAGAUAGCCUUCUCUAGCCAGCCCCACUCUAGGGGUCUGACCCUGAUACUGUUAACAAUGCUAAUUGCUGCAACCUGUGGCUUUCUUUCCAUGUGCAGGGACUGGCUACCUAAAAUACUUCAUUUCAGAGAGACUCAGUAAAUCUUCAUGGCAACCCUAGAAGAGAACAUUCCCCUUUACAACUAGGACCUAAGGCCUAGAUACAUUAUGUUAUUUGUCCUAAGUCACUUAAAUUUUUUUUAAACUAUAAUGGAAAUAGUUUGUUCUGGGCAGAACUGGUGUUUGCACCCCAAAGAGGGGACUUCCUGUCCCUCGAGGUACUGUUGCCUGGUGCUGGGGAACAUUACGUCUUCAAAGCAUGCCAUUUUCAUUGCCAGAGGGUGACAGCAUAUGACUAGAUACGAUGAUAAGUGACAAUUUUCUUCACACUUUUUUUAGUGAUUGGUUAGAAUAGAACUCUGGAUUCAAUAUGAUUAAAAGCUUCAUUCUUCCAUGAAUGGGGUGAACAGGGUGGGAUGUCCUGUGGAAUAUCUCCCACUGGACUGAAUUUUUCCAGGAAGUCUCAUGUGAGCUGUGUCCUGCUCUCCGCAGUGUCCUUGUCCACACUGGUUGGUGUAAUUUGGGGGAGUGGGAAGUUUUACAGUGCCCAGGUUUACCUGUUUACAGAUGUCUCUGGCUGCACCUGCAGAAACAGCCUCUGCUCUGUGGGGGGGAAUGUCAGAGGGCCCUCUUUCUUUUGGUUCUCUGGGGUGCUGUUUCUGAGCAGCAGUGGGACUGAGCUGGUCAGUGGAGCAUCUGAAGCAGUUCCAGGCAAGGUGGGGUGUGGGGCUAGGUUGGCCAAAGUGUUGGGGCCCCUUGGCCAGGUCUCCCCAGUGGGCCAGCUGUGUUCUUCCCACACCUUUAGAAGCCUGAGGAUCUGAGUAGUGUGCCUUGGAUGAGUCAACUGGCCUCUGGUUCUGUCUAUGCAUGGUUCCAGGGUGGGCAUAGCCAUCCCUUCUUGUUCUUGAGCAGGGAUCAGGGAGGGGUGCAUUCUACCUUGUUCCUGCUGCACAGCCUCUAAGAACAUGUGAAGGCUCAUUACCAAGUUCUUCCAUCCCCACAAUACUGCCCACCUCCUGUCUGCCCUUGCCAUCCCAUAGGACAUGGCAGUUGCUGUUCUCUCUGGGUGUGGGUCCAAGCUCCCAGUUGCCCUUGGACAGUGUGCUGUUGGGGAGGGAGGCUUGGGCUUGACCAGAGCCUGUGAAAGGACCAGGAGACUGAUGCUAAGCUGAGGGCUGUCCACAUGUGUACAGGCUGCUGCCUCAGGAGGAAGGUAGUCACCUUGUCUUCCAGCCUGGCCCAGUCUGUCAGCAGGAGAGGGUAGCUUUCUUUGGCAUGGGACAGGAGCACCACUUGCUCUCUACCUUUUUCCUCCCUGUCCGUUCGUGGGGACUUGCUGCCAUUCAGGUCUGCCCCAGGGUGCUCUGCUUUCUGCCAGGACCUGGGCAGCUGUUGGUGUGAUCAUGGGUUGAGGAGUGGGCAGUGUAAGUGGGGGUAGUUCUGGGACUAUUCAGGGGCCCAGCUGAAGCUGGACCCUUCCUGUGCCCUUGAAUAGCCUUCCUUGCUCAGCCCUUCACUUGGGAAGAGGAGAGGGCCUGGUAGAGUGUGACUUUCAGUUACAGCAUCUCCUUCCUGCCUGCAGCAGGUCAAUGGCCAACAAGGAGGGGGGUCCGAGCCAGCAGCGGCGGCAGUGGUGGCAGCGGGAGACAAAUGGAAACCUCCACAGGUACUGAUCUCAAGCAUCCUCUCCCUCAGGCCGCCUGUCUGCCCGCCCGCCUGUCUGCCCGCCCGCCUGCCUGCCCGCCUACCCGCCUGCCUGCAUGUCCCUGGGGCCAGAGAGGCCUGGCUAGGGCAGGUGGGGAGAAGCCCAGGGAUCCUUCCCUGCCUUCUGAGCAGACAUCGUCUGCAAGACUGUGGCCCAUCCCUGAGCCUCUCCUGAUCCCUCCCCACCCUAUUUCUGGCCUGGCUUCUCUCCUAUGGGUCUCUCCUGCCUCAAGCCCUGGUCAGGGCCUGGCAGUGGGCUGGCUGGGCAGGGGCAUUGGGUACUGCACUUUAGCUGUGCUUGCUCCUUGCUGCCAACUUGGUGCAGAAGGGGGUAGACUUUCUGUUGCAAGACAGGCAAUGUUUUGUUUAGAGCCAGAAGUACAGAUUUUCAUUUUAGUUUUGUUUUUAUUUAGACAACAAAACAACAUACAAAGUCAAAGCACAAGUGUGGGAAUCCAGCCCCCACCUUCUCUGCAUCCCAGGCUCAGGGUGGGUGAAACAGGUCUUGUCCUGCUCUAGUAAAAUGGCCCAUGGGAGCAAGCCCUCUGGGAAGUGGAGCUGGGCUCUGUUGUCACUGGGUGACAGUUUUCUUUGUGCCUGUCUGUGGCUGUACCUGCCACCAGAGGGUUCUGGCAGGCCUCUUGGGCCUAGUCCCUCCUCCUGGCCCCCAGGCACCCUCAGGAGUGGGACAGGGGUGUGGUGUGUCACCUAGACCCUGGGAAGCUUUGGGUCUGAAGCUCCAACCCCAGCUGCUGUCCAGCAGCCAUUGGUGGGUGGGAGAAGGGCCUUUUGUUCACCAAGACAAAGAGGAGAUUGAAAAGUUUCUAGGGGGUGAGGGGAACUGGCAUUGAUUUCCAUGGUGACAGCCUGCUCUAGCAUUCCAGCUUCUGCUUGGGCCCUCUCCCACUAAGGAGGAAUGGGCUUGGGGCCAGCUGGGAGGGCAAAGAAAGGCCUAGUAUGAGCCAUACUGCAGCUCACCCACUGCCAGACCUUGCUAUAUCUUGGGGCCUGCUUGCAGUUCUGGUUGCCCAGGAAGGCCUUCUAGCCUUCUUACCUUUUGACCUUGGGCUAGAAACCCCGCACUCAGGAGUCCAGGAUGGGGGUCUUAGAGUUUGGGUCAGCUGAACCCUGCUGGCUUUCUUUGAUCCCCAGCCGUUGCUCCCACUCAUGGUCUGGAUUCUUUCCUCUCUUUCCCUCUCAAGGCUGUGUCUGGAAGCCGGGAAGGGUGUUGGUCUUUUGAGUUGGUAGGCAGGCAGGCAGGCUCUGUCCACCCUCCAUCCCACCACCCCCGCUCUGCUGGCUCUAGUGCUGGGCUUCUCUCCCUGCUUGGAUGGCUGUGUCCCCCUGCAAAAACCUGGAAGUGGAUUAGACAAAAGGAAUGUAAACAUGACCCUAAACAUAAUCCACUUAGGUUCGCAGCCUGCUGUGGCGAGCCCACCCCUGCCCAAGUGCCUCCUGGUUUGUUGACGUGGUUGGCUGGGUGCUGUCUCCCUGGGGUUGCUCUGUUCCUGGUUCUCCCAGGGGGCUUAGCACAUCGUGAAGUCUGAUAGAGGCAGGCUGGAGCCCCCUUAGGGCUCAUGUGGCCUGGGAGUGCUUAGACUCUGUGAUGUGUGCACAGGGCCUUGUCUGUAGGGCCAAGGAUGGACAUUGUCAGGAAGGAGGCCCUUUGUCUGUACUUGCUCCUUGGCCGGCCCCUGGAACUCGAAGCUGUGUCUGUGUCCAUAACAGGGGCUGUGAACAAUCUUAAGAGGCCAGGAUGCCAGGUGGCAUAGGAGUAAGGAGUCCCUGAAUGCCCUGAAAAUACCAGCCCUACUCCUCCUUCCCUGGAAAACAGCUAGCCUGGAUCCCCUGCAGGAGGUGGGGUGGAAGCUCUGGGAGCAGUCUGGCAACGAGGGCUGGCUCCUUUCCUAUCACCCCCUACCUGCCUGGGUAGCUCCUAAGGAGUCUUCUGUGGUCUGGGCCCCUUAACUGCUUCAGGAUGGUGCCAGGGCCCCCAGAGUACCCACUUGCCUCAGUCUAUGUUCCACCCAUGGGUCCUGGGGGAGAAAGGCCUAGGAUGGGGACAGCAGAGUUAGAAGGGGGUCCUAUAUCCACGCAGUCAGUAGACAGCCUGGUUUUGGGCUGGUCCCUCCCUGGGAAGAGGCUGGGGAGAUGGAGGGUGGGGUUUCUGGGACCACACAAGGGAGACCUGAGCCUGCUGCUACAUGACUCCCUUGCUUCACCUUCUAGGGCACAGAUUCCAUCAAGAUGGAGAAUGGACAGAGCACAGCCGCCAAGCUGGGGCUGCCUCCCCUGACGCCUGAGCAGCAGGAGGCCCUCCAGAAGGUGAGCACCUUCCUCCAGAGCCUGUGGGCAUGGCUGCUGAGCUGGGUGAGUGGGGGCACACCAUCUCCCUGCGGGCGGGCCCCCCAGUGCUCCUCACUGCUGUCUCUCGCAGGCCAAGAAGUAUGCCAUGGAGCAGAGCAUCAAGAGCGUGCUGGUGAAGCAGACCAUCGCACACCAGCAGCAGCAGCUCACCAACCUGCAGGUGAGCCCCACCACUCUCCCUCCACCCCACUUCACUGUCUCGGGGGCUGGCUCUGCUGGAGGCUGUCCUGCCCAGCCUGGGCCAGGAGGCCUCCACUGCCCCUCCCCAUCACCUACACCAUCUCCUCCUCCUCCUUCUCUUCCUCCUCCUGUGCCUGUGGCCAUCCCCUAAAGGUGUUAUGAUUCUCAUACUCUCAAGGACUCAUUCUCAAGAUCCCAGGGUCCUCCCUGAGGCUCCAGCGGCCCAGCUUUUCUGCCUGUUGCUCACUAUGGCCCCUUCUCACCUGCCUCCCUGCUCCUUCUCUGUAGCUCUGCCCCAUUCACCCUUGGGGUCUCCCCCACACCCUUGUCCCCCAGGCUGUGCACAGCUAUAGUGGCACUGUGUAGGGUAUGUCCUCCCUACCCCCAUGGUCAGGCCCCACCCUUCUGCAUCCAGACCACCUGGGCUGGGACCCAGGACUGAGGGGACAGUCUAGGGGUGCCUCACUGGGCCAUGCUCUAGACUAGAGGCUGUGCUUUCUGUGUGGGGCCAGUAGGUUCCUGGGCCUUGUGCCCUCCCCCUGCCCAGGCCAGUCCUCAGACAUUCACGCUGCCAGGAGAUGUCCUGGCUGUUCACCGUGCUCCAUCAGUCCCUCUCCUCCCUCCCUCCCUUCCUUCUGCCCUGGCCAGUCCUGCUGCAAAGUCUGCAGGGCAGGGCACCUGGGGCUCUGCGGCCCCCCUGGGCAGGUGCCGUUGCAGUGUGGGAAGGCAGGCGGGCCUCCCUGGCAGGGCGGGGACUCCGGGCCUGGCCGCUGUCUGCGUGAGGUGUUGACGAGAGCGGGAGACUGCUCGGCUCCAACAGACUGAACUCUGUCUUUACUGUCUUUCAGAUGGCAGCAGUGACAAUGGGCUUUGGAGAUCCUCUCUCACCUUUGCAAUCGGUCAAUAGAAAUGCUCACUUCUUCCGGGGCUCAUGUCCUUAGUCAGGGCUAGAGGGGGGCAGUGCAGCCCACUGCUGGGGACCUUGCUCCCCUGGCCGGCCCUGCCCGUCAGCUCUGGACGAGCACAGCAGAGCGCCAGGCAUGGCGGGGCCAGUGGUGUGGGCACCCACCCCGGGACCGCCCCUGGGGAGGCCUCCAUCUGCUCUGAGGGCCCGCCUUAAAACUAACCGGCCAGGUAACUGCAGAGGGCAGCCGCGGCAGCCAGCCAGGGAGGGUAGCUGCCGGUGCCAGGCUCGUCUGUGCCCUGCUGCCCCACGCAGGGUGCACCACGGGCCACCAGGUCGCCAGUCUCCAGGCUGCCUAGGCUCUUGGGUUGGGCUGAAGACCCUGAGGAGAGAGGGGUCCUGACUUGUGGCCCCAUCAGACCCUGGAGGGAGGACGGAGGGGAGGUGGGGGGUGGGGGGAUGAGUGAGUGAGAAAGGGAAGGGCGAAGAUUUGGGCCAUGGGCCUGGGCUGUCAGCAAGGUCUAGAGGCCAAGGAGGAGGCAGAGGCCAUAGCUGCGGGGCUGCAGCAAGCAGAGUCUUUUCCUGCCCCACAGGCAGUCUGAGGCGGCCAGACACCAUCCUGGGGAGGAUCCUGAGGGGGAGAUAUGGCCCUUUCUCUGGGGGCCAUUUGGAGGACUUGGGCCAAUCCUGAGCGAGCUUCCCUCAUUGGGGAGACACUGUGUGUCAGAAAGGCAGCUGUCGACCCUCUGAAGACACCUGGGCUAUGGGGGUUGUGGUCAGGGAGAAAGCUGUUUGCCCACCUGUAGAUGGGGAGUCCCACCUUGAAGGGGAGGCAUGGCCCUUUCUUGGGGAACAUAGGCCUGAGGGACAGAUGGGGCUUCAUCUUGAUGUAAGCGGAAGCCUGGGGCCUAUUUGUUAGGGAACCCAGUUUGAGGAGGGAAGAGUCAAGUUUUCAGAGACUUGCUAGUUUGAGGGAAGGUCGUCCCAACCAUGGGGAGUCUGUGUUGGGCAGCUAGACUCUAAGGGAGGGGCCAGGCCUGUGCCAGGCUUUUUGACACAGAUAGGAGUAAACUGGUCUCUGCUGGGAACCUUCACAAGGGCCAGGGGAGCCCUUGUUCGUGUUCAGGCAGGGUCCUGGGGCGUGUCUUCCUGUGGCCCACAGUGCUUGGCUCUGGAACUCCCUGCCUGGCACAGCUGUGAGGUGGCAGGGGAGAGAUCCCCAUUCUUGAGGGUUCAGGGAGGUUCCUCAACGCAGUGGCCCAGCCCACAACCAAGGCUUGCCAGUUUCCCAGCUCCAGGGAGCCCCAAGGUUUCUCAGUUGGGUUCUCCGCUGCCUCAUGACACUUCUGGGGACCAGGCCAGUGGCUCUUGCCUGUGCUCUUGUGGCUCCAGGCGUAGGCUCUAGCAGCUCUUUUUAGAGGGGAGCGGGGCGUUGGGAUGGGAAGAGUAUAGGUCACUGAGCCCCUGCCUGAGUUGGUCCCGCACGAGCGACUAUUCCUCGUUCUCUCCAGGGAGCCCCCGUCUGGGCUCCUGAACUCCCCUGGGGUUUCUUCUGGGCAGUGGCUGCCCCGUCUUCUGUCACCCUCUCUUCUGGCCUCCAUGCCAGCCAGUCCCUCCAGCUUGGAUGACUCCUCCUUCCCUUUUCUGUUGCAGUACUUGGCUGGGAAGGUGGGAGGAUCUCCCAGCCCGGCCCGGGGUACCUGACCCUGGGACUGGAGGGUGAGCGUGGUGGGAGGGCGCAGAGCCCUGCCUCCUGGCCACCAGUCAGUUUUGCAGCUGCAGUCUGCCUGGGACUGGGCGGGCUGGGCUCGUCUGUGUACUGCUGUUGGGCCUGGCCUUCUUCAGGGUGGGGUCCUGCUGACCCCUGUGCCCUGACUUUAGGGGCCAAGCCUGCAUCUUGCUGCUGGGUGGGGAUCACUCCCCACCGCAGAGUUCAUGGGGCAGGUGGGUGGGCCAGGAGGGGAGAGGGCUGCUAAGCCCCUUGCCUGCCUCCCUGACAAGCCAGUGGCGCUCUCUCCUUCUGUUCUGCUAUAGAUGGCAGCUCAGCGGCAGCGGGCACUGGCCAUCAUGUGCCGGGUCUACGUGGGCUCCAUCUACUAUGAGCUAGGGGAGGACACCAUUCGCCAGGCCUUUGCCCCUUUUGGCCCCAUCAAAAGCAUUGACAUGUCCUGGGAUUCUGUCACUAUGAAGCACAAGGUGAGCAGACUAGGUCUACCCCAGUUGCCUUGGCCUACCCUCCUUGGGGUUCUUCCAAGCCUGAUAGGGUUUCCUGUGUCUAGGGCUUUGCCUUUGUGGAAUAUGA
rnacentral:lncRNA from 1 species